rnacentral:tRNA from 1 species
GUGCAGGAGUCGAAGCUCGUAGGUGAUUUGAAAUCAUUUAAUUCGCAUGGGAGAUGUGAUGCACA